rnacentral:rRNA from 1 species
GACGAACGCUGGCGGCGUGCUUAACACAUGCAAGUCGAACGAAGUGGCGAACGGGUGAGUAACGCGGAAUCAACCAGCCCUUCAGAGGGGGACAACAGUUGGAAACGACUGCUAAUACCGCAUACUGAAGGAGGGGAUGGGGUCUGAUUCGCUAGUUGGAGGGGUAACGGCCCACCAAGGCGAUGAUCAUUAGCCGGUCUGAGAGGAUGAACGGCCACAUUGGGACUGCGACACGGCCCAGACUCCUACGGGAGGCAGCAGUGGGGAAUCUUCCGCAAUGGACGAAAGUCUGACGGAGCAACGCCGCGUGAGUGAUGACGGCCUUCGGGUUGUAAAGCUCUGUUAAUCGGGACGCGGUACCGGAAUAGAAAGCCACGGCUAACUACGUGCCAGCAGCCGCGGUAAUUC